GUCUGCAGCCAUACCACCCUGAGUGCACCUGUUCUAGUCUGAUUUCGGAAGCUAAGUGGGGUCAGGUCUGAUUUGUACUUGGAUGGAAGACUUUUCUGAGAGUAAUGAUUUUAUACAUC
rfam:Cricetulus griseus cell line CHO-K1, whole genome shotgun sequence.